CAGAGGGAGGCGUUUAGGGGGAAUUGGACAAAGAUAUCUGAACCACUUCAGCUGACUCCUUUUGAUGUGGAGGAGAAACGCCUUUACAAUGAGCCCCUCAACCUAUCUCAAAGGGAGAGUCAAGCCACCCAGCAGAGAAACCUCAUUUUAGAGUCAUGAUCCGGAUUUCAUGACCAUAGCAGGGAUCACCAACCUUUUCCAGACUGAGGGCUACUUCAUAGGUACUGAGUCAUAGGAUGGGCCACCAAUACUGACCUAUGACCUGGAGGGAUCAGCGUUCACCUAAACUUUACAUAUAAUACGCAUAUUUUUAUUGUUUCUUUUAACUUCUAAUUUUCUUUAUAUUGUCAUUUUGAAAUCUCUAUAAAUACUCUGUAUGAAAAGAACAGUAACAAAAUAAAUUAAGAUUUCAAUCUUA